AUACCUCGGAGAGUUUGAUCCUGGCUCAGGACGAACGCUGGCGGCGUGCCUAAUACAUGCAAGUCGAGCGGACAGAAGGGAGCUUGCUCCCGGAUGUUAGCGGCGGACGGGUGAGUAACACGUGGGUAACCUGCCUGUAAGACUGGGAUAACUCCGGGAAACCGGAGCUAAUACCGGAUAGUUCCUUGAACCGCAUGGUUCAAGGAUGAAAGACGGUUUCGGCUGUCACUUACAGAU
rnacentral:rRNA from 1 species